CCUACGGGAGGCAGCAGUGAGGAAUAUUGGUCAAUGGACGAGAGUCUGAACCAGCCAAGUAGCGUGAAGGAUGACUGCCCUAUGGGUUGUAAACUUCUUUUAUAAAGGAAUAAAACGAGGCACGUGCGCCUUUUUGCAUGUACUUUAUGAAUAAGGAUCGGCUAACUCCGUGCCAGCAGCCGCGGUAAUACGGAGGAUCCGAGCGUUAUCCGGAUUUAUUGGGUUUAAAGGGAGCGUAGAUGGGUUGUUAAGUCAGUUGUGAAAGUUUGCGGCUCAACCGUAAAAUUGCAAUUGGUACUGGCAGUCUUGAGUACAGUUGAGGUAGGCGGAAUGCGGGGUGUAGCCGUGAAAUGCUUAGAUAUCACGAAGAACCCCGAUUGCGAAGGCAGCUUACUAAACUGUGACUGACAUUGAUGCUCGAAAGUGUGGGUAUCAAACAGGAUUAGAUACCCCUGUAGUC
rnacentral:rRNA from 1 species